rnacentral:snRNA from 1 species
AACCUUGCGCAGUGGCAAUAUCGUAAUCAAUGAAGUUCUACUGAGAUGCGAUUAUUGCUAGUUGAAAACUAUAACCAAUACUCCGCCAUUCUGCUGUGAAAUACCAGUCGGAAUAGGCAAUUUUUGGAAGCCUCUACGGGGG